rnacentral:rRNA from 1 species
AUUGAACGCUGGCGGCGUGCCUAACACAUGCAAGUCGAUCGGUAACAGGUGUAGCAAUACAUGCUGACGAGAGGCGGACGGGUGAGUAACGCUUGGGAAUCUGCCUAUUAGUGGGGGACAACCCGGGGAAACUCGGGCUAAUACCGCAUACGCUCUACGGAGGAAAGCCGGGGACCGCAAGGCCUGGCGCUAAUAGAUGAGCCCAAGUCGGAUUAGCUAGUUGGUAGGGUAAUGGCCUACCAAGGCGACGAUCCGUAGCUGGUCUGAGAGGACGACCAGCCACACUGGGACUGAGACACGGCCCAGACUCCUACGGGAGGCAGCAGUGGGGAAUAUUGGACAAUGGGGGAAACCCUGAUCCAGCGACGCCGCGUGGGUGAAGAAGGCCUGCGGGUUGUAAAGCCCUUUCGGUGGGGAAGAAAAGCCUCGACCUAACACGUCGGGGUAUUGACGUAACCCACAAAAGAAGCACCGGCUAACUCUGUGCCAGCAGCCG